AUACAUCUGUAUCUACGGCAGGGAGUGCUAAAAAGUUACGCCUUUGGAUAUGUGAUGCGAUUUGACCUGCAAGCGAAUGCGUUGGAGAUCAAACUCUGUAAAAUCCC
rnacentral:sRNA from 1 species